rnacentral:Y_RNA from 1 species
GACUGGUCUAAAGGUAGUGAGUUAAGUCAGUUAAUUGUUCACAGUCAGUUAUAAAUUGAACUCCUUGUUUGACUCUUUCCCCCUUCUCACUACUGCACUUGACUCGUCUAAA